GACGAACGCUGGCGGCGUGCUUAACACAUGCAAGUCGAACGGAAAGGCCCUGCUUUUGUGGGGUGCUCGAGUGGCGAACGGGUGAGUAAAACGUGCGGAUCCUGCCCUUGUAUUUGGGAUAAAUUCAGGGAAAUGGGGAGAAUAUAGGAGAGGAGCUCUUGAAGCGUGGUGGGGGUUGGAAAGUUUCGGCGGUUGGGGAUGGACUCGCGGCUUAUCAGCUUGGUUGUGGGGUAGGGGGUUACCAGGGUUUUGACGGGUAGCCGGCCUGAGAAGGUGACCGGCCACAUUGGGACUGAGAUACGGACCAGACGCCUACCGGAGGCAGCAGUGGGGAAUAUUGCACAAUGGGCGGAAGCCUGAUGCAGCAACGCCGCGUGCGGAAUGACGGCCUUCGGGUUGUAAACCACUUUCGCCUUUAACAAACCGUGAGUGACGGUAAUGGGUAAAGAAGCACCGGCUAACUACGUG
rnacentral:rRNA from 1 species